rnacentral:sRNA from 1 species
CGUUGGGGGAAAGUAAUUCCGGCUGUUGCACCAUGGCGUCCAUGGGGACCCUCGCCUUCGAUGAAUAUGGGCGCCCUUUCCUCAUCAUCAAGGAUCAGGACCGCAAGUCCCGUCUUAUGGGACUUGAGGCCCUCAAGUCUCAUAUAAUGGCAGCAAAGGCUGUAGCAAAUACAAUGAGAACAUCACUUGGACCAAAUGGGCUUGAUAAGAUGAUGGUGGAUAAGGAUGGAGAUGUGACUGUAACUAAUGAUGGGGCCACCAUCUUAAGCAUGAUGGAUGUUGAUCAUCAGAUUGCCAAGCUGAUGGUGGAACUGUCCAAGUCUCAGGAUGAUGAAAUUGGAGAUGGAACCACAGGAGUGGUUGGUAAGAAAAGACAAAACAUCCUUUCUCAUUUAAGAGACGUCAUUUAAGACCACAGGGCUAACAUGCCUGCCGAGAUUGUUGUCUCUGAAUCAGAGCAUGAGGAGACAGACAAAUCCAAAUUGAAAACAUGCUACAAAACAAAUGUCCUGGACUUUCAAAACUGACAGUGUUACAAAAGAACAGAAAGAGGGCUG